rnacentral:lncRNA from 10 species
UGUGUCAUGCAGCUGCUAUGGGGGGAUGGAGGAGGAGUGGCAUUGGCAAUUCAAGACUGCCUUUCCUACCCUUUUCAGUGCCUCUUUCAGUGAUACGAAGCUAAAACCAGAUACUGCUUUCAUAGUACUUUUCUGACCACGGUUUUCUGGAGUUUUUUCGUAUGGAGUUUGUAAGCUUCCUGACAUGUUAUUUUUGGCAGAUUUUGAUGGAUGUACAUUGAUGGAUAGCCACGUGGAUCCAGAAAAUAAAGACUUCUACUCUGCAUUUGACUAAAGCAGAAGAUAUGCAAGGAAGCUCAGUCUCUCAAUUGAGUGGAUUCUGAAAUUUAUCCUGUUGUCUUCAGCUACUAAGGCUAAUUUGCAAAUCACACUGUGCACGGAAACAACCUGUUCAGUGGCUGCUGAUUAACUCCCCAAGAUUGAUGUACUGAAGAAGGAUGACCUCCCCUUGACACCAAUGCUACUAGUCAAUAACGACCACUGUGACUCAGAACAAAUUCUCUGGGGGCAGGCAGUGAAGCUUCUUCUCUUGUUGACCUUACCAGACCACAAGGCUGAAAAUAUUCUGUGGCCUGAUGCCCUUAAAUUGAUCAUAUUAAUACAAUCAAGCAGAAAAGAAAUUAAUUUUCCCUCUCUCUCUCUGUCUAUAUAUAUACUUACUACUAUAUAUAUGUGUGUAUAUAUAUGCUAUAUAUGUGUGUGUAUAUAUAUAGCAGUACAUAUAGAUAUAAUUAGUAUAUAUAGAAGUAGUAAAUAUAUAAAAAUAUA